CCGGCGCACGGGUGAGUAACGCGUAUGCAACCUGCCCGUUUCAGCGGGAUAACCCGGAGAAAUCCGGCCUAAUACCGCAUGUGGCCGAGGGGAGGCAUCUUCUUUCGGCCAAAGGAGGCAACUCCGGAGACGGAUGGGCAUGCGUGACAUUAGCUUGUUGGCGGGGUAACGGCCCACCAAGGCGACGAUGUCUAGGGGCUCUGAGAGGAAGGUCCCCCACACUGGUACUGAGACACGGACCAGACUCCUACGGAAGGCAGCAG
rnacentral:rRNA from 1 species